UAUUUUUGGUUUUGGUUUUGUCUGUUUGUUCGUAGUCCUGUCUGUCCUGGACUCACUUUGUAGACCAGGCUGGUCUCCAACUCACAGACAUCUGCCUGCCUCUGCCUCCCUGAGUGCUGGGACUGUACCUGGCUUAUCAGGAAAAUUUUAAAUUUACCUUUUAUCAUUAGUUUUCUUCUUUAACUCCUGUAGUACUUUGUAUCUUAGUUCUUUCUAUUAGCUUUUACCUCAAGUAAAAUAUUGGAGUUUAUCAGAUAAAACAACUGAAUGGAAUCUGUAGCUAAAAAUAUCACCUGGAAUACAGUACCAAAAGUAAACAGGUGGAAAAUAUGGAAAAACAGUCAGUCUUUCCUUGACAGAUAUAAUCUAUUUUGAAAGGAAUGAAAAUGAUAUAAAGACAUUUUCAGAAAAAAACACAGAACAGCAAAGACUGAUAUUAAGAUGUAAUUAAAGAUGAAGGAAAAGGAUAAUCUGAGAUGUGACAAGGAACAGUAAGUAAAUAGGAGUGUAUAGGUAUAAAGAUAAAUGUCUAAGCAAAUUCUGCAGAAUGACCACAUUUCAAAGGCUCUAAGGUUAUUUUAAUUUAAAAAAUUUUUUCUUAGUUUUGAAGUUACAUUUCGCUGUCGAGCAUUUACUUUCAGAUCAGAUUUUAGUAUGAUUAUCCUAUAGUAUAAAUCUAAUAUUCACUUAUAAGUGAGUAUAUAUCAUGUGUGUCUUUCUGCUUCGGGGAUAGCUCACUCAGGAUGAUCUUUUUUAGUUCCCACCAUUUGCCUGCAAAUUCAUGAUUUCUUUGUUUGUAAUUGCUGAGUAGUAUUCCAUUGUGUAAAUGUAACACAAUUUCUGUAUCCAUUCCUAACUGAGGGACAUCUGGGCUGUUUCCAGGUUCUGGCUACUACAAAUAAAGUUGCUAUGAACAUGGUUGAACAAAUGUCCUUGUGUACUUGAGCAUGUUUUGGAUAUAUGCCUAGAAGUGGUAUAACUGGAUCUUGAGGAAGCACUAUUCCUAAUUGUCUGAGAAAGCGUCAGAUGGAUUUCCAAAGUGGUUUGUACAAGUUUGCAUUCCCACCAGCAAUAGAGUAGGGUUCCUCUUUCUCCACAUCCUCUCCGGCAUGUGUUGUCACUUGAGUUUUUUGAUCUUAGCCUUUCUGAUGGGUGUAAGGUGAAAUCUCAGGGUCGUUUUGAUUUGCCUUUCUCUGAUGACUAAGGAUGCUGAGCAUUUCUUUAACUGUUUCUCUGCCAUUCGAUGUUCCUCUCUUGAGAAUUCUGUUUAGCUCUGUAUCCCAUUUUUUAAUUGGGUUACUUGAUUUGUUGCUGUUUAACUUCUUAAGUUCUUUAUAUAUUCUGGAUAUUAGCCCUCUGUCAGAUAUAGGGUUGGUAAAAAUCCUUUCCCAGUCUUUAGGCUGUCGUUUUAUUCUGAUGACAGUGUCCUUUGCUUUAGAUCAUUCCUGGUGGUCCUGUGCUUGCUUGUCAUCUUUGUGGCUGCUUAGACCAUUGCUUUAGACAUCUGUUACCUAGUUAUUGUAUAGUUUGUAUCUGUCAGGCAAUUCCAACCUCUAAAUAAUCGUGCAUAUUGACUUUUUCUUUAUCCAUACUGGCUUCUGAGUUUAUAUUCCUUCAUGUUUUUGUUGCUUUUGUAGUCCUGGGAAUGGAACCCAAUCCUUUUUGCCUGCUGAGUAAGUACUGUGCCAGUGAGCUACAUACUAGCCCUUAGUUUUUUUAGGGGGGGGGGUUGUUUGGUUUGUUUUGUUUUGAAACAGAGUCUUGCUGUGUAACCUAGCUGGUAGUCCUCUUGCUUAUACAAAUACCGAGGCUACCGGAGUGUGGCAGCACAGGGUGUGGCUUUACUAUGUGAAGAGUCACUUCAAACAAGAUUUGCCUCUCCUCCUUUCUGUCACAUGACCUGGGCUGUUAGCCUCCUUGUGCUCCUCCAGCCCUUUCUGUGGUGAGCUGAAAACAAAUGAACCUUGUUUGACUCCUAGGUAAUAGUUGCUGUUGACAUUUGUCCUCAGACCAGCCCCAAUAUUCCUGCUUACAUGCUGGCUGACGCUGUAGUUUCUCUAAGACAUAAAUUUCCCUUUAUUUGGUAGAUAGUGGAUUUUAAAAGUUUUUGAUUUCUGUGUGAAACUUUCAUUUGCUACCAAUACGUGUCAUUAUGUCUUUAUAUAUACUUGCUUACCUGUAUGUGUGUAUACCAUGUGCACAUAGCGCCCAUGGAAGCAAGAAGAACCUCUGGAACUUAGUUACAGAUGUUGUGAGUCACUGUGUGUGUGCUGGGAAUUGAACCCAUGUUUCCUGAACGAUCAGUCAGUGCUCUUAACCUGUGAACCAUCUCUACAGCCCCGUGUCUCUGUUUUAAUUUUAAUUUGGUAAAUGUUUAUUUUAUUUUAUGUGUCCAAGUGUUUUGCCUUUGUGCAUGUCUGUAUACUGCAUAUGUGUAGUGCCCACAGAAGUCAGAAGGGGGCGUCAGAUUCCUUGCAACUGAAUGUUACAGAUCUGGCUUGGGAGUUGGAGAUGCCCCAGAACUGGAUGGUGGUGAGCUCCCACGUGGGUGCUGGGAGUCGAACCUAGGUCCUUGGCAACAGAAAGAAGUACUCCUAACCUCAGAGCCAUCUCUCCAGUCCCUAAUUUUAAUUUUAAGUAUCAACUCUGGUGCUUUUAAUGGUCUUUAGUGAAACUUAAUGUGUGUUUUUGGCUUCACACUAUGCUGAACAUUUUUUCAAGUAUUUAUUGGUAGUUAUAUUUCUUUAUUUGAGAGUUGUUUAUUUAGUUCAUUAGCCUAUGUUUUGAUUGGGUUAUUUUCUUGAAUUUCUUUUACUCUAGAUACUAAUGCUGGAUCAGAUGCAUGUCUGGCAAUUUUUCUUCCACUUUGUGGGCUGCCUCUUCAGAUGACAAUUUCAUUUACUUUAUGGGAGUGAUUCAGUUUCAUGAGUUCCUAUUUGUUGGUUAUUGGGUUUAUUUCCCGAGAUCUGACUAAUAUUCAGAAAGACCUUAACUAGUGCUUUAUCUUGAAAAUGUACAUUGUCCUCUAAGAGUUUCUGAGUUUCAGACCCUCUGUUGAGGUCUCUGAUCCAUUUGGAGUUGAUUUCUGUACACGGUGAGAGUUAAGGCUCUUGGUUUAAUUCUUCUACAUGUGGAUGUCCAGCUUCCCCAGCACCAUUUGUUGAAGAUGCCUUUUCUUCGAUUGUGCUUUUGGCAUCUUUAUAAAAAAAAUUAGGUGGCUAUGAUUUUGUAUUUGGGGUCUCUUUCUCUUCCAGUAAUCUGUUGGUCUGUUUUUGUGCCAGUAUCACGCUGUUUUUAUUCCAAUGGCUCUGCAGCAUACCGUGAAGUCAGGUGUGGUGGCUGGUUUAUGUCAGCACAAGUUAGUCAUGGGAGAGGAGGGAGCCUCGACUGAGAACAUGCCUCCAUGAACACCACACUGUAACAGUAUUCUCACAGGUACUCGGAAUUCUCACAGGACUCUAUUCCUGGACCAUGUUCUGACUACAACACACUGAACUGUCUGAGAAUUGUUGAAGGUGAGACAAGGAAGAAAGAUGCCAUUCAUUUUCUGUACAUUUGCACAAUGCAAAACUUCCUGUGUAAGUGAGGCCAAUACUGCUGAAAAUAUCGUGCAAUUCAUCUGAAACAAAUGGAAUCUAUGAAGGUAUUGGCUUCUAGAUGAUAACAGAAUCCCUGAAAAGGAUUAAGGGUCCAUUGCAACAUUCAAAUACAAAGAGUGUUUAAUAGCAUAUUCUCAAGUGGUAAAUUUAGAUGUCCUACAGAAAGUUGCUGUGUAUACAGACUUGAUUCCUAGGUAAUUGUAAUUCUGGAGGGUCUGUUGCUAGUAAUAACAGCAAUAAUAACAAUUAUGUACAACAUAAAGACUAUGAUUAGUUAAAUUAUUUUAGGGAUUUAGAUCACAUAAGUAGAUUUUAAUGAUUCUUGUCAUACUUAAGCAUGUGAGUCAGUGUUACUCUAUUUCACUUUAAUAACAAUGUUAAUAUCCAUUGUAUAA